AUCACUUAAAGGGAACGUAGGGUCAAAAAUAAAAUUUUGAUAUGUGAAAACUGGUACCAUGCAGACAACAAAAUCUAGCAUAGAAAAAAUAAUUGCUGCUGAUAACAAGAUUUAAUCUGUCAUUUACACUGAAAAUUGAGUUGAAUGGGAGAAUCUCUUAUCAUGGCGGCUGAUGACAUGUAUGCGGCAAUUCAUUACAACUGCUGUGCCUAUAGCACUAAAUGGGUUACAGAGUAUCUAUAAUUUAAAUGUCGGGAGUUCAAGCGAAAUUUUGCACUGCGGUAAAAGGAAAAGGAAUACAUGUAUCUACCUUUUAGCAUCCCUGAUCUCCCCCAAAAACUAUGAACAUUGUGCAAUAAUUGGAUACAUAACCUUGGAAAUGAAUCUUUUGUUUUUGGACGGCAUUUUGAGAAAGAUUCUUUUAAAGAGGAUAUCAGGGUAAGUAUAAAUUAUAUUUGCUUUUUACUUGGUAAAUACUAAUAAUUCUUAAUGUGUAAAUACCAGAGUUUAUUUACAACAAACUUUUACUUAUAUAAUAAUUUUCUAAUUUAAUCUAUUUCAGUUUAUUUUAAUAUCCUUAUCCAGUGAACAUUUUAUGCAGUAACUGAAAUAUUUGAUAGCAGCAAGCCUAAGAAAAUAAGAGAAAAUAGCUCAAAAAGAUGAGGAAAAGCAGGAUACAUGCAAUCCAUUUUCUUUUGGAAACCAAUGAAAACUCGUAUGCAGAACCUAUUGACCAACCUGGACUAUCAGCAUCUAAGGAAACAGCUCAAUGAAGACAUGAAUAGUGACAAAAAUAUCCCACUCUCAAUCCAUAUUGAAGAACAAAUCAACUUUGUGCAACAUAUACAGAUAGAAUUGCCCAGUCAUUGUCCAUCAUAUGUGCUAGGGAAUGUUCAAGUGAAGAAGUGAAGAUAAUGAACUGUAUAAAGAAUACAAAAUUAAAAGUUUAAGAAUUAAGAGUGUCGUUUUCAUCAAUCCAUCCCAAUUCACUAGUGUUUUCAUUUGAAGCUGCUAAUAAUUCCUCUUCAUUAAUACCCCCCGCAACAAGUUGUGGGGGGGUAUACUGGAAUCGGGUUGUCCGUCCGUCCGUCUGUCUGUAGACGCAAUGGUUUCCGGACUCUAAAGCAUUAUCCUUUCCACCUACCGUCACCAUAUCAUACAUAUGGACUACCCAUGGGAUGAAGAUGUUCCCUAUCGAUUUUGGGGUCAAAAGGUCAAAGGUCAAGUGCACUGGACAUCGAAGUAGCAAUAUGGUUUCCGGGCUCUAAAGCGUUAUCCUUUCCACCUACAGUCACCAUAUCAUACAUAUGGACUACCCAUGGGAUGAAGAUGUUCCCUAUCGAUUUUGGGGUCAAAAGGUCAAAGGUCACGCGCACUGGACAUCGAAGUAGCAAUACGGUUUCCGGGCUCUAAAGUGUUAUCCUUUCCACCUACAGUCACCAUAUCAUACAUAUGGACUACCCAUGGGAUGAAGAUGUUCCCUAUCGAUUUUGGGGUCAAAAGGUCACGCGCACUGGACAUCGAAGUAGCAAUAUGGUUCGGUUUGUCAUGCCAUUUGUUUUUUACACUCAGAAAAGAGGUAGUUUAUACCUAUUACCAACACCCUUUGGGAGAUUGGGAUAAGCGGGGGGUAUUCUUAGUGAGCAUUGCUCACAGUACCUCUUGUUAUAAUCAGUCUCAAAUUGAUAUCCUUUGCAGUCAGACAUGAUCAGCUACUUUCACUGAGAGGCAAUUGCCCGGUAUACAUGUACGUCAUAAGCAGAUGGAAUUGUGGGAAAUAUCUUAAAGAGCGAUAACUUUAUCUUGCAAAAUGGCAGCCUCCAGCAGAUGAUGUGUAGCUAUAUUUAAUAGCCGAUUUCUACACAACAGAUUAAAAUCAAAUGGAAAUAACCCUUGGACUUAAUUACUAAAUAAUUAGUAUUUGAAAUGUGAAAAUAUUUUUUUAUACCCUACGUUCCCUUUAAGGCAGUUCUGCACACCUCAAAGCAAUUUUCAUUCCCUGUAAUUUGUCAUAUUUUGAAUUUACUUGAUACAACAGAUUAUGAUUUAAAAUGAACCAAAAUUGUUCUUCCCCAGCACCUCUCUCAGAGUGUGUUUUACUGUACAUAUACCGCAACCGUGAGCAUCAAUGUCCUGUACUUCUGGUGAUCGAGGAUUCACUGAGUAAUGUCUCUGUAAUGAAACAUUCCAUGUAAACUUUACAGAAAUUUCCCCCAAAGAUGA